AGAGAUGUGGUUUUGCCAUGUUGCUCAGGCUGGUCUUGAACUCCUGAGAUCAAGCCAUCCACCUUCCUUAGCCUCCCAAAGUGUUGGGGUUACAGGUGUGAGCCAUUGCACCCAGCCUGGAUUUACUUUUAUUCAGACAGAUGCCUAAACUAAUAUUAUCCAAGUUUUGUUUCUUUUUUUUUUUUUUUGAGACAAGGUCUUGCUGUGUUGCUGAGGCUGGAGUGCAGUGAUGCAGUCAUAGCUUACUACAGGGUUGAACUCCUAGGCUCAAGCAAUUCUCCCGCCUCACCCUUCCAAAAGAUUUUAGGUGUGAGCCACUGCACCUGGACAGGGUGUUUUUUUUUCUUCUUCUUCUUCUUCUUCUUUCUUCAUCCUGUGACUUAGGAUGCAUUUUUUAAAUCCCAUUGAUAAAACUGGUCCUUGGACUGCUUGUUGAAGCUUUCAUGGAGUUUAGCAUUUACCAAGUCCUACUGUGAAUUGUUUAUUUAUAUAUGUAUGUAAUCAUGUACCACAUACCAACAUUUUUGUCAGUGAUGGAUCACAUAUAAAACCGUGGUCCCAUAAGAUUAUAAAAUCAUAUUGUUACUGUAUCUUUUCUAUGUUGUAGUAUAAUGGCCUUACAGUAUUCAGUACAGUAACAUGCUGUACAGGUUUGUAGCCUAGGAGCAAUAGGCUACCCCAUAUAGCCUAGGUAUGUAGUACACUAUACCAUCUAGGUUUGUGUAAGUACAUUGUAUGAUGUUCGCAUGAUGAAAUUGCCCAGUGAUGCAUUUCUCAGGAUGUAUCCCCGUCAUUAAGUGAAACAUGAUUCUCUACUAGAUCAUAGGAGAAAAGAAUUGUGUUUAGUGCAUCUUUUGGAGAAUCCCUUAGGUGCCUGAUACAAAAUGAAUUUUUGCUAUAUGAAACUCUAAUUCGGCAUGUGCAAAUAACCAGCUUGUCAGUGUGCCCCAAUAUGCUUCCCUCUUCCACAUCUUACAUCUUCCUGUAGUCUUUGCCUUACUGUCUCCCAUUCAAUAGAGGAGGCCAAUAAAACAGGAAAUCACUCUUGAUGCCUCUUCCUUCAAGGUCUGUAUGCUCUAUCUAUUAAAUAUUGAAUCUGCUUUUGAUUUCAAAUCCUUCGGCCAUUCUCUUAGUUUAGACCCUUAUCAUCUGGAUGACAUAUGUUCCUGUAUUAGCUAGUCUCCAUUCUGCCAGACUUGGCUAGGACUAUAUUAUCAAUAUUUUCCACCCUCCUGCCAGGGAGAAUUUUCUAACAUGCCAAUCUGCUCAGGUCAUUCUUUAAAAUCCUUCAUUGAUUUUUCUGAACAUUGUCUCCAGGUAAGAGAUCUAACUCCUUAAUGUGGCAUAGAGUCUUUUGCGAUCAGACCCCUGGUGGUCAGUCAGCCUCAUUUCUUGCAUUCUGCUGUGUGAUCUGUGUUCUAGUUAUAUAACUCAGAGUUCCUCACGUGUGGCCCGAGGCUUUCAUAAACCACUCCCUAGAGUUCGUCAGCUGACUUCCCUCUUCAGGUGUCCUAUUCUCUGAGAAGCUGAUCCUGAUUGGCCAACCACCUCAACCUAAUCUGGUUUCAAUGUCCCUCAUUUGCAUUCCCAUGUGCUCUAUUACAUCCCUUUCAAAAUGCCUUUCACACUGCUGUAAUUGCUGGUUAGUGGUCUCUCUUUCUCCCACUGGACUAUGAGCUUCUUGAAGGCCGAUGUCACAUCUUAAUAUUUAUUUCCUCAGUGUCUAGCAUUGGAUCUAGUCUGUAGGAACCAAUCACUUAUUUGUGGUGUUGGGCAAGUUACAUAUCCUAUCUUUUUAAUUGUCCUCAUCUAAGUAACAGAAUGUCUCAUAGGGUUUUGUGAGAAAUAAAAGAGCUAAUAUAUAGAAAGCAUCAGAACAGAGUCUGGCACAGAAUAAGAGCUCCAUAGAUGUGUUCUUGUUUUAUAGUCCACCCCAGGGACAUAGAAUACUCACUGAAUAUUUGUAGAAUGCUAUCGAUUGAUAAAGCCAAGAGGGAGUUCCACAAAUUACCUGGGAGAGAGAGUAGAAAAAUUGUGGGACAUGUCAUGGCUGUAUUCCUGUACACCAGGAAAAUUAGGUAAUUGUUUGAGAUUGUUUUAAUUAUAUAAAAAUACCAUUUACAUUAGCAGCAGAAACUACUCAUGGCCCUUUGUGAAGAGAAUUAUAGAACUAUUGAAAUGCAUAAAAGAGCUAAGAGUAAGUGGAAAGAUAUAUGCAGAGUUUAUGGAUUGAGAGACUCAAUAUAGGAUCAUCUUUGAUUUUUUAAAUUAAUCUAUAAUUUUAAUGCAAUUUCAAUCAACAUCUUCCUUCACAGAUUUGUUUUGUUUUUUAAAUGAGCAUGCUGGGAGACCAUUCUUUAUGGACUCUCACGUUUCUGCAUGUCAUGCAAGCAGAGGCACUAACAACCCUUUUGUUCUAAACUGUCUUUUCAAGGAUGUUUGUAAUGUAGCUGUAGAAGAUAAAGCUGUAGAAGCUAAAGAUAGUGUUUCCCUCCAGAGCAAAGGGUAGGUUUGUUUACUGUACAAUCCAAUAAAGAUAAUGUCUCCCAGCAGGGCAAGGCUCCAUUAUGAACAGUUCAUGUUCCCUAAACUCAGGGUUCUUUUUUUUUUUUUCCUUUUUGAGACGGAGUCUCGCUCUGUCGCCCAGGCUGGAGUGCAGUGGUGCGAUCUCAGCUCACUGCAAGCUCCACCUCCUGGGUUCACGCCAUUCUUCUGCCUCAGCCUCCCUAGUAGCUGGGACUACAGGCACCCACCACCACACCUGGCUAAUUUUUUGUAUUUUUAGUAGAGACGGGGUUUCACUGUGUUAGCCAGGAUGGCCUCGAUCUCCUGACCUCGUGAUCCUCCCACCUCAGCCCCCAAAGUGCUGGGAUUACAGGCGUGAGCCACUGCGCCUGGCCCAUCAGGGUUCUUUAAGUAUGAUACAAACCCACUGCAUGCACAGCGUCUGCCUGAGUCCCUCCACAGUGCCCCCUGUAUUUGGACACCAAGUAGAAGUGACUGAACAUGAAACUUAAUGCUGUUAACUAUCCCAUAAAUAAUUAAGUCCUUUGUCUCAGACCGAGGAGUUUUGUAUCUUCUUCCAGCAUCUGUAAAAAUGUGCAGGCCAACUUGUUAACUUGUAAGUUGGGUGAAAUCUCAGAUCUUUCACAGUUCUUAAAAGCAUUGUGAUAAAUCUCCACUUGUAAAAAUCAUUUAGCAUAUUAAAUUACAGCAGUGAACAAUAAGAAUGUAGUACAAUGCUUUCUCAAAAAGCUAAAAACAAAUAGAUCAGCUAUUAUUGACAAGAAAGAAACUGUCCUUUGCUGAUUUGCCUUUUUUCCUUAAGGAUGAUAAAUGAACCUCUUCAAUUUAUCUAAAUCCUUUCACUUUGAUAUUUUCCAUAACAACUUUCCUUUGCUCUUAUUAGAGUUUAGCAUUUCUAUAUCUUUCCACUGGCAUGUUAAGCUAGCUUCUUUUCUGAAGGUGGGUGGUGGGGUUAGUUUGCUUGUCUGUUCAAAUAUUUGUUUGCUAGUAUUAAAUAGGCAAGGCAGAUUUAUUUGGGCUCUUUUUUUGUGACUUAGUACUUUCCCACUAUUUUCUAGAUCUCCUUACCCAGCUCUCUCUGAUUACACCAAAAGAUAUUAUAGUCAUUUUGCUGUUUGUCUAUUUUGUAUUAUAGUCAUUUUGCUAUUUGUAUUAUAGUCAUUUUGCUAUUUGUAUUAUAGUCAUUUUGCAAUUUGUCCUAACCCCAGCCGUAACCCUAACCCCCUAACUAUAACAAGGAUAAACACAUCAUGGUGUUAAAUGCAGUAGAGAAAAAAAUAAGAGAGGUGAAAAAAAUCCGCAGUUAAUAAUGAUUAUGGAAUGCUUAUUUUAGUGCCAGGAACUAUUCUUUUGAAGGGUAAUGGACUUUGGGGGAUUAAAGAUCAUAAAAAUAGCAUUGAUAACCAGUUGUAAUUCUAAUGAACUACUGCUGAAACACAGUGUUCCACUUGUGUCUAGUACAUUUCUUUCAUAAACAUGUAAAUUACUCAGGCUGCUUCAAAUCCUUUUAGGAAGGAGUUGGGAGGUAAAUAAUACAUAAUUAAAGAAGCACACCCAGACCCAAAGCUCUCUUGAGAUAAUAGAUAUUAAGGAGUUAUUUUUGGGGAAAAAAAUGAGGUAAUUAGACAGUACAAAAGUAUUUUAAAAUUAGAGUAAAUGUUGGUUCUGAGAAAUCUUCAGCUUUAAAUCAGUAUUUUUUCCCCCCACUGAUCUUUGAUAUGUAUUUAGGAGGGGCCCAAUGACAUCUCAGAUCUCUUCCCUUUCCUAAAACUGUCAAAAAUCUUUAAAUCAUAGUGGACAACAUACAAAAUGGCUUAUUUGGGUCUCUGGCCCCAGCGCAGGGUGCCUGACCAGCCCAGGUGACUGACUGCAGUGUAGCCUUGCAGCCGAGGGUUUGUUCUCCUGCAGCCACAGAGCCACAUGCAUGCGCUUAUCCCCGAAACAUUAGCUGGGCUUGUUCUGUAACUUUGUGCAAGUCAAGUCCUACUCAGUGUGCCCUGUAACUUGUUUCUUUUACUCAGUUAUUAUUGAGAUUACAGUAUGUUGCAUCUAGCUGUGGUUCAUUUUCAUUGCUGAAUACAGUUCUGUUGUAUGAAUAUUCCUCAAUUGACUUAUCCACUCUCCUGUUGAUAGACAUUUGGGUUUUAUCAUUCUGUUCUGUUAUUAACACAAUGCAAAGAAUAUGCAAGAAUUUCUUUAAAAUGGGUCAGCAAACUUUUUCUGUAAAUGGCGAGGUACUAAAUAUUUUAGGCGUUACAAGGGCACAUGUAGUCACUGUUGCUGCUGAUGCUUCUAAAAUUCUUUUUUUUUUUUUUUUUUUGAGACAGAGUCUCAUCUGUUGCCCAGGCUAAAGUGCAAUGGUGUGAUCUCGGCUCACUGCAACCUCCACCUCCUGGGUUCAAGCGAUUCUCCUGCCUCAGCCUCCAGAAUAGCUGGGAUUACAGGCACAUGCCACCAAGCCCAGCUAAUUUUUGUAUUUUUAGUAGACACGGGGUUUCACCAUGUUGGUCAGGCUGGUCUCCAUCUCCUGACCUCGGGAUCCGCCCGCCUUGGCCUCCCAAAGUGCUGGGAUUACCGGCAUGAGCCACCACGCCUGGCCGCUUCUACAGCUCUUUAAAAAUGUAAAAGUAAUUCUUAGCUUGUGGGCCAUGGAGUAGGGGUCAGCAAACUGACCCCUGCUCUCAGAUAUAUACCUUAGAAUAGAAGUACUUAUCAUCAGUCAUGGACAUGUACAUUUUAAAAGGCAAUGAGAAACUUUUUUCAAUGUGGUUAUAUCAGUUUACUUUCUCACAAGCAGUACAUGAGAGUACCCCAAUGCACCUCCUCCACACCAUAACCUGACGUUAUACUUUUUAAUUUGCUUGUCUAGUAGAUAUGAAAUAAUAUCUUAUUAUGGGCCUCAAUUUGCAUUUCCCUGGCUGCCAAUGAGGUGGAACAUCUUUUCCUACAAUUAUGAACAAUUUGUACUUUUUCUCAUGAGAGAUAUUUGUUUGUAUCUUUUGCCUGUUUUUUGUUUGGGCUGUUUAUGUUUUUCUUAUCAAUACGUAGGCAUUUUUAUAUAUUCCAGAGACUAUUCCACUUCUAUAUGUUUCAAAUAUUUUUUCUUUUAUGUCCUGUUAUUGCAUCCUUUUAUGCACACACACACACACGCGCGCGCACACACACACACAUUUCUUGCCUUCUUCCCUAACAGUGAGAGUAAGAACUACUCAUGUUUGCCCUGAACUGCUUUAAUGUAUUCCUGUCUGAGGAUGAAAAAAUGAACUAGAUAGAUGACUUCUUUUUACAGUACUCUCAGUAAUAAAUUGAUUUAGAGUAAAUAUUCAUUAUUAAAUAAGGCAAAAUUCUAUUAUGAAAUAGCCUGUAAAAACAAGCCAGAUUGGCCGGGCGCGGUGGCUCACGC
rnacentral:lncRNA from 10 species